GGGGAAUAUUGCACAAUGGGCGCAAGCCUGAUGCAGCCAUGCCGCGUGUAUGAAGAAGGCCUUCGGGUUGUAAAGUACUUUCAGCGAGGAGGAAGGCAUUAAGGUUAAUAACCUUAGUGAUUGACGUUACUCGCAGAAGAAGCACCGGCUAACUCCGUGCCAGCAGCCGCGGUAAUACGGAGGGUGCAAGCGUUAAUCGGAAUUACUGGGCGUAAAGCGCACGCAGGCGGUUUGUUAAGUCAGAUGUGAAAUCCCCGGGCUCAACCUGGGAACUGCAUUUGAAACUGGCAGGCUUGAGUCUUGUAGAGGGGGGUAGAAUUCCAGGUGUAGCGGUGAAAUGCGUAGAGAUCUGGAGGAAUACCGGUGGCGAAGGCGGCCCCCUGGACAAAGACUGACGCUCAGGGGCGAAAGCGUGGGGAGCAAAC
rnacentral:rRNA from 1 species